rnacentral:misc_RNA from 1 species
GAUGAAGAACGCAGCGAAAUGCGAUAAGUAAUGUGAAUUGCAGAAUUCAGUGAAUCAUCGAAUCUUUGAACGCACCUUGCGCCUUUUGGUAUUCCGAAAGGCACACCUGUUUGAGCGUCAUGAAUACCUCAAUCUCCAUCUUUUCUUCGGAUUGAUGGGUGACUUGGAUGUUGAGCCCUGCUGGUAUGCUAUAUCAGCUGGCUUUAAACUUAUUAGCCGGCUCUGUACUGGAUCGGUUUGACUCGACGUGAUAAUAUUAUCGUUGAGGAUGCAUGUCUCAUGCAGCCGGAAAGUACCAAAGCAGCUUCUAGCUUGCCUUUAGUGCACUUUUACAUUUUAGACCUCAGAUCAGGUGGGACUACCCGCUGAACUUAAGCAUAUCAAUAAGCGGAGGA